CCCGGAGUGACCCGGAGAGGAGCGGCCCGCUGGCGUGGAGGGCACCGCAGACGCACCGGCCUGGGCCAGGGUGUGGCCGGCCGGCCGGCCCGCGGCCUGGUUUUGCAGCUGCAACUUGAAGCGCAAGGGUGUGCUAGGCCCCUGUCCGCCGGCUGGCUGCAGGCUCUCUGCACCCGGGCUCAGCCACGGCCCGGUUUUAGGGUGGAAACGCUUGACCUCCCACAGCCAAGCAUCACACACAGUUGUUGUAUCCGUGUCACCAAAGGACGGGGAGGUGACGAGCGAGCAGAAGAGACCGUGCUCCACCCCGAGAAGGCGAAGUCGUCCGCCACUGCCUGACUGGUGGGGCAAGAAGUUACAAGGGUGUGGAGAGGAUCGCACGCACUUGGCUGUGGAGUGUUACUGUUUCUGUGUUGUUUUUCUUUUAAGUGUUCCAUCAGAUAGAUGCCUUGGUCCCGGUUCCUGCUGCCUCUCAGACAGGGGGGAUUGAGGCAUCGAGGCAGAUCCUGGCCUGCCGUUUUCAGGUGACGGGUGUGUUCCACUGUCACCGAGCUGUACGCGGCUUUCUUGAAUGGAGGAAUACGGCAGCAGAGGGCUGAGAUGAAUGUUGCUCAGUGGUGAAUGGUCCUCAGGACCCCCUCGUCAGUUACAGGUGUAUGAUUGCUAACACGUAGACCUGAACUGGAUGUCCCUCCCGAAACAGGAGGGCUGUUCCCCAACUAUGGGACAGCAACCGUGUCUUGACUUCAGAAAGCAGCCCUGCCGUGACAGGAGGACUGAGCCCGACCACGUUUGUAUGUCUCACGGAGAUUUGACAGUUUUGAGCAGCUUCUCUAGCGACCAGGGAGGCCAGCUGGAUUGCCCAUAGAAGUCAAAAGAAGGCAUCAGAUCCCCUGAAACUGGAGUUACAGAUGGUUGUGACAGGAGAGCUUAGAGCUGAACAGGACAAAGCAACCUUGGGAGUACUGGGACCACAGAGCCAAAACCAAGAAAAUCUUCGCCGUUGAAUAGAUCCACCACCACCCUCAUGACAGCCAUCUUUAUGAAUUUGUGGACCCGUUAACACUUUUUAAGAACACGAACAGGCUGGCUCUUCAGGGAAAGAGAAGCCUUGUCAUCCGAAGAUGGGGUCCUCACACUGCAGCUGCGCUGUUUCAGAGCCCACCUGCUCUAAACUGCCCUGUCUCCGAC
rnacentral:lncRNA from 1 species